UACGUAGGUGACCAGCGUUGUCCGGAUUUACUGGGCGUAAAGAGCGCGCAGGCGGUCGUUCAAGUCGAGUGUGAAAGCCCCCGGCUCAACUGGGGAGGGUCACUCGAUACUGAUCGACUUGAAGGCAGGAGAGGGAAGCGGAAUUCCCGGUGUAGUGGUGAAAUGCGUAGAUAUCGGGAGGAACACCGGUGGCGAAAGCGGCGUGCUGGAUCCCUUCUGACGCUGAGGCGCGAAAGCGUGGGUAGCAAACAGG
rnacentral:rRNA from 1 species